rnacentral:lncRNA from 1 species
CACCUGGGGACAGCUGGGGGACACACCUGGGGACAUCCCACACACACCUGGGGACAUUGGGGACACACCUGGGGACACCUGUGGCGCCCCUGUGUGACACCUGUGUGACCCCACGGUGACCCCGCCGUGACCCUGCCGUGUCCCCGUGUCCCUCAAUGACCCCGAUGACCCCUCGGUGUCCCCAGGUGCCCCCAGCACGGCCGAGCUGAGCAUUUGCCGCGUGAACCGCAACUCCGGGAGCUGCCGGGGCGGGGACCGAGAUCUUCCUGCUGUGUGACAAGGUGCAGAAAGAGGACAUCGAGGUCCGUUUCUGGGCCGAGGGCUGGGAGGCCAAGGGCUCCUUCGCGCAGGCCGACGUUCACCGCCAGGUCGCCAUCGUGUUCCGCACGCCGCCCUUCCGGGACCCGGCGCUGCGCGCCCCGGUCACCGUGCGCAUGGAGCUGCAGCGGCCCUCGGACCGCCAGCGCAGCGCCCCCGUGGACUUCCGCUACCUGCCCCACCAGGGGGACCUGCAGUGCAUCGAGGAGAAGCGCAAGCGCACGCGGGAAACGUUCCGCUCCUUCAUCCAGCGCAGCCCCCUGCCCGGUGGGGGCUCCGGGGGGCUUGGGGGGGUCAUUGGGGUCCCUGGGGGGGGAUUAUUGGGGUCCCUGGGGGGGCUUUGGGGGGAUUAUUGGGAUCCCUGGGGGGGAUUAUU